CGGGAGGCAGCAGUGGGGAAUUUUGGACAAUGGGCGCAAGCCUGAUCCAGCAAUGCCGCGUGCAGGAAGAAGGCCUUCGGGUUGUAAACUGCUUUUGUACGGAACGAAACGGUCCUGGUUAAUACCUGGGGCUAAUGACGGUACCGUAAGAAUAAGCACCGGCUAACUACGUGCCAGCAGCCGCGGUAAUACGUAGGGUGCGAGCGUUAAUCGGAAUUACUGGGCGUAAAGCGUGCGCGGGCGGUGCUGUAAGACAGGCGUGAAAUCCCCGGGCUCAACCUGGGAAUUGCCAUUGUGACUGCAGUGCUGGAGUACGGCAGAGGGGGAUGGAAUUCCGCGUGUAGCAGUGAAAUGCGUAGAUAUGCGGAGGAACACCGAUGGCGAAGGCAGUCCCCUGGGCCUGUACUGACGCUCAUGCACGAAAGCGUGGGGAGCAAACAGGAUUAGAUACCCUGGUAGUCCACGCCCUAAACGAUGUCAACUGGUUGUUGGGAUUUACUUUCUCAGUAACGCAGCUAACGCGUGAAGAGAC
rnacentral:rRNA from 1 species